rnacentral:lncRNA from 1 species
AGGGAGAACCAAAUCAGCCAUCAAAGAAAAGAUCUUUGCAAGAAAGCUAGCACUCUAAGAAGAUCAUCUCACCUCUAAUUGGAAUGAGUCUUCAUGUGGAUAUUUGUGGAGAUCGGACACAUGUGUAGCUAGAGGAAUCAUUCAGAUCUACAAUCAUCGACUGCAGUAUAGUUCGACCCACCAAGGUACUGAGAUCCAAUCUCAAUUUUUAAUUUUUAAUUUUUAGAUUAUAUGCAUAUCUUAGGUCUGGGCACAAGUAGUAUUAGAUUUGAUCUAAUGCAUGUA